rnacentral:rRNA from 1 species
GAUGAACGCUGGCGGCGUGCUUAACACAUGCAAGUCGAACGAUGAAGCCCAGCUUGCUGGGUGGAUUAGUGGCGAACGGGUGAGUAACACGUGAGUAACCUGCCCUUAACUCUGGGAUAAGCCUGGGAAACUGGGUCUAAUACCGGAUAGGAGCGUCCACCGCAUGGUGGGUGUUGGAAAGAUUUAUCGGUUUUGGAUGGACUCGCGGCCUAUCAGCUUGUUGGUAGGUUAAGGGCUAACCAAGGCGGUGACGGGUAGCCGGCCUGUGAGGGUGACCGGCCACACUGGGACUGAGAGACGGCCCAGAAUCCUACGGGAGGCAGCAGUGGGGAAUAUUGCACAAUGGGCGCAAGCCUGAUGCAGCGACGCCGCGUGAGGGAUGACGGCCUUCGGGUUGUAAACCUCUUUCAGUAGGGAAGAAGCGAAAGUGACGGUACCUGCAGAAGAAGCACCGGCUAACUACGUG